GACGAACGCUGGCGGCGUGCUUAACACAUGCAAGUCGAACGGAAAGGCCCUGCUUUUGUGGGGUGCUCGAGUGGCGAACGGGUGAGUAACACGUGAGUAACCUGCCCUUGACUUUGGGAUAACGUCAGGAAACUGGGGCUAAUACCGGAUAGGAGCUCCUGCUGCAUGGUGGGGGUUGGAAAGUUUCGGCGGUGGGGGAUGGACUCGCGGCUUAUCAGCUUGUUGGUGGGGUAGUGGCUUACCAAGGCCUUGACGGGUAGCCGGCCUGAGAGGGUGACCGGCCCCAUUGGGCCUGAGGUACGGCCCAGACUCCUACGGGAGGCAGCAGUGGGGAAUAUUGCACAAUGGGCGGAAGCCUGAUGCAGCAACGCCGCGUUCGGGAUGACGGCCUUCGGGUUGUAAACCGCUUUCGCCUGUGACGAAGCGUGAGUGACGGUAAUGGGUAAAGAAGCACCGGCUAACUACGUG
rnacentral:rRNA from 1 species